rnacentral:lncRNA from 1 species
GUCUUUGGAGAGUCGGGCUCCAAGGAACCCCUCAUCGUCCUCCACGUGGGUAGCACACCCAUACGACACGUCGUUUGACAGGUGGGUCCGGACCACCUCAUCCAGCUUCAAAACGGCUCGGUCCGAACGGUUGGUAAGGAGGAGGCAGCUCCCUCCGGCUCGAAACAACACGUUCGACAACAUCAUAGACUUCUCUCUCCCGCCGUACCACUGCGCCGCCGUGGACUCCAUCGCCACCACCACCCCGAAACUCCUCUCCCUCUUCUUUUUGAACAUCUGUCGCACCAUGUCGACCGCCACCACGCUCGAGCUGCACCCCAUCCCGCUCAGGCUGAACGUCUUCACAUCCUCCUUCAUUUUGUACCGGUUCACUAUCCGGCCCGACAGCGUCGGCGACGGGGCAAAGAGUGAGGCCGUCGUUACCACAAUGUCGAUCUGUGUGGGGGAGACUUUCGACCUGUAACGCACGUUAAUAUUGGUAAUUUUUGUCUGAAUCCAAAACAGUCAAACAUGGAGUCAACUGUGAGUUCAUAGAUUGAAUAUUUUCAACAUUUAAUAUAAUAUAAUGCAUUAAUAAACAAAAAGUACAUUAUUAGUGACCAGAAAGUUGUUACUAAUGGUUCUUUUCUGUCUAAAAGAUAAAUAAGCUGUCAGUAAAGGAUCAUUCGCGUCGCCAAAAGGUAUAGGUGACGGUUAACAUUUGGUAACCGUCUUCGUCGCCAACAGCGUCACAAAAAAAUAAUAAGUAAUAUGUAAAAAAACAUAGACACAAUCUUUAACUAACUUGGCGAAGAGGUUGUCGAGGAUGGAGAAGGCGGCGUCCUCGAUCUCCCGGAGGGAGUCGCGAAACGUGGGGGACAUUUCGCGACCGUCGAGGAAGUUCCUGGGGCAGUAGGUCUCCUCUCCGAUGCCGGAGCGGGAGAUAGUUUUGAGGAGGAACCUGUACUCUUCGAGUCCCAGGUUAUGGUUCCGGAGGAUGAUCUUGAUGGAGUUUCCGGUGCUCAGCUUCAGCUCGUCGGGUGGUUUGUAGCACUGGUAAGCCAAGAGGUAACAACUGGAUUUCUGCAGGUAUAGCUUUCGUUGCAUGAAUUUGAGAAGCUGGUGAAGGAUUGGUAUGGUUAGGAUUAUUAGGGGUAUUGAUGCCAAGAGGAUAUGGACCUCCAUUUUCGGCUUAGCUUUGUGAUUAUCAUAAGUUGGCAACUUUAUAUAUAGUUAGGGAUUUUCAUGUGGGUUGGAAGAGUCACUGAUGAAUUAGUUAUCGGGUGAUCUGAUGGAGUGGAAGGGUUAUUAUGGUUAAUUGAUAAAAAUUACGAUAUAUAGGGAUAACAAGUUGAUUGUGUCAGCUGAGGUUUGCACAACUUCAUAUGCACAUAAUAGGGGCUAACGAGAUUUGAAACGGAGACCUCUCGGUCUUUUUAAGCUCUGAUACCAUGUCAAGAACCGUUUUAUCCCAAUAACUCGGGUUGUUAGAAGAGCGUUCAAAUAAGUUUGAUUGUAUUCAGUAACAAAUUGAUCAUCCUCGAGACAUUAUAUUCGAUCAGGAAAGUUUGAUACGUUGAUAGGUUCUCGGGUUUAAUUUGUAGUAUAUGCUUCAAGGAUUGGACCGUCCGCCAGUUAGAGUGAUACGUGAGUUGGGUUUAGAAUGUCACGAAGCAGUACGGUCCUUGCUUGGUGUGGGCGCGUUGGAGGAUUGGGCGAGCGGGUUAAAUCUCGAAUCACGGUUCAUUUGGUUGGUGGAUUAUUUUUGAGGUUUAGUUGAUGCCACCCUUACAUUGUUAACCUAGUUUCUAAAAUUGAAGUUGGUAUACUAUAAAGAGCAUCUGAGUAGGACUGGACGUGCAUUUAAAUAAAUUAGGACCAAAUCAAUUGAAAAAUGAAGAAGAAUCAAAACCCUAGUUAUAGAAGGGUUGCCAGCCAUCCCACAUGCAUUCAGAUGCCACCCCAAGUGGGUUCUUGAUAUUGACUUAACGCUAUACAAUUAAAUGAUUCCACACCACAUACAUUAUUGGGUUAAUAUAAUAUAAUAUACAUAAACUGUCUAGUAAGUUUGGAGUGAUAGGUGAGUUGGGUUUAGAGUUUGAAACACACUAGACAUAGAUUUUGAUUUCGAAAUUUUUACAUAAUGUUUUGUCAAUGGACGAAGUAACCGUAACUUUGGUAUGACUCAAAUUAUUUUAGCUUUCUCACUUUUAGUGUAAUCUUUUAACGAUGCGUUAUAGCUGAUACCUCUAAAUAAAAAGUUGUAUUUACAAAAAAUUUAUUAGUGAGGAAAUCAAAUAUUUAUAUGAAAAUAAGCAAAAAUGACUAUGUUACCCUUGCAGUCACUCUGCUAUUGACUCACUGUAGUACAUGGCCCAUGAGCCGAUUUAUAUAAAACCACACGUUGAAGUACUUAACUAGCUACAAUGACCAAAGAUUUGACCGUGGUCGAACCUAACAAAACCAACCGAAUCCUCGAAAAUCCAGUCAAACUUCUCAGCAUACGAGUUCGCCGACGUCGUAUCAACCGGAUACCUAUCGACACAAUCCAACCACACAUUAUCCUUAUCAUCAUCUCCACCGUCCAUAUACGACCACUCAUUCUCAACCGUCCAAGUACAACUAUUGCACAUGAACCCAGCCCCCAUCGCAACCAUCAACAGUUUGUCACCUUUCUUCAGCCUCCUCUUGGCCUCCAUGUACGCCAGCACGUACCACAGGCUGCUACACGAAGUGUUCCCAAAUCGGUGCAGCGUCAUUCGAGAUGGCUCCAUGUCGAAUUCCUCGAGCCCGAAGCUCUUCCCGAACCCUUCGACCACCGCCCUCCCUCCCGGGUGCAGGCAGAAAUGCUGGAUGCCCGCUUUUAUGCUGAUAAUCGGUGGUGGGUUGGAUGAAGAAGUUGUGCGGAUGAGGAUUCGGAUCCGGUCCAAAAGCUUGGUUUUCCAGGUACGGACAAUGGCGAAUCGGAUGAUUUCGUGGAGUGGGAGUACCUUGGGGAGCAAGGUUUUGAAGUUUUCUUCUAUGGCUUGGAAAACCACCUAAUUGGAUCACAUAAGUUGGAAUUAGUACAAAGAGUAAGAUCACUACCAUAGGAUUAAUAAUUUAGGGGUGGAAAUUCGGUCAAGAUUUCACGAUCCGACCUGUUUCAUAACUAUUGACACGAAAUAUUUGCCGAGUUGUUGAUUUUGAUUUCGGUUGUGAUAAAUGGAUUUUCAUCCAAAUUCGGUUGACAUUGAUUGAAAUAAUCAAAUUUGGGGUAUUCUAGCUGACCCAUUACUAGACUAGCCUAGCUAUUAUCGAUAGGGAUGGCAAUUCGGUCAUGGUUAAAGAUUAUAAUCGAUUUACUGAUCUUCUUUCGUCUAUAACUUAAAAUAACUAGGAAGAUUAAUUACCGACCUCAGGCAAGUCUCUGGAGAGGCGGGCACCAAGAAACCCCUCCUUGUCUUCCACGUGGAUAGCACACCCGUACGAGACGUCACUCGACAGGUGGGUCCGGACCAUCUGAUCCAACUUCAGAAUGGCUCGGUCCGAACGGUUGGUAAGGAGGAGGCAGCUCCCUCCGGCUCGGAACAGCACAUUUGAAAACAACAUCGACUUUUCUCUCCCGCCGUACCUGUUCAUUAAUAGAAAUGUUGUGACUAGAAUGUAAUUAGUGUCCACUUACAACUUUAUUUUUUAAUUAACUGAAUUAUUAUUCGUCGUCCUAAAAAUAUUUUUAUGGUAGUAACCCUUUAAUCAGUUGAAUAAAACGAAUCGUUAUGAUCUACUUAUUGACGGUACCAAUUCCCCGUAAUUGACUCCAUCGCCACCACCACCGCGAAACUCCUCUCCCUCUUAUUCUUGAACAUCUGUCGCACAAUGUCGAUCGGCACCACGCCCGAGCUGCACCCCAUCCCGUUGAGGCUGAACGUCUUCACAUCUUCCUUCAUCUUGUACCGGUUCAUGAUCCGAGCCGACAGUGUUGGCGACGGGGCAAAAAGGGAGGUCGUCGUUACCACGAUGUCGAUUUGUGCAGGGGAGAUUUUCGACCUGUCGUGCAACCAGAAAAUUUAUUUAAGGAUUUCGAAUUUAUACCAUAAAAGAUCAACCUACAACAGUCAAUCCUUAAUGGAAAUGAAAAAUCAACAACUUACUCAAGUUUGGCAUACAUUGACGGUACAUUCUAAAACCGUAUAAAAGUUGUAAUUACGCAAAAAUAAGUGGAUGUGUCCGGGUUUGAACUAGUUAAACAUGAUAAAAUUCGGGUAAUUAACCAAUUACUUAGCGAAGAGGGUGUCGAGGAUGGAGAAGGCGGCGUCCUCCAUCUCCCGGAUAGAGUCGCGAAAGGCCGGGAACAUUUCGCGGCCUUCGAGGAAGGUCCUGGAGCAGUAGGUCUCCUCGCCGAUGCCGGAGCGGGAGAUGGCUUUGAUGAGGAACCUGUACUCUUCAAGCCCUAGGUUAGGGUUCCGGAGGAUGAUUUUAGUGGAGUUUCCGGUGCUCAGCUUCAGAUCGUCGGGUGGUUUGUAGCACUGGUAAGCUAAGAGGUAACAACUUGAUUUUUGCAUGAAUUUGAGAAGCUGGCGAAGGAUUAAUGGUAAGGUUAUGAUCAUUAGGGCUAUUGAUGCCAAGAAGAUCACAUGGCUCUCCAUUUUGGGUUGAGCUAUGUAUGAUUAUCACAAGUAACUAGGGACCUUUAUUUAUAGGGAGGUUCUUGUGGAUGGUCUAUGAUCGGGCGGGUUGCGCGGGUCACGGUCAUCUCCAAGAUAUUUGACCGGAAAGGUUUGGUAUCUCGAUGUUGGCCGUUUGUUACCUAGGGUUUGUACUAGCCAGUUAGAGUGGUACGUGAGUUGAGUUUAGAAUGUACGUUAACAAGAUAAUCCAGUCCAUAUUUGGCGUGAGCGUCAGAGCGUCCGGUUAGUGGGUUAAAUCGAAUCGCAUCUCAUUUAGUUUGUGGAUUUUUCGAGAUUUUUGGAUUGUGAACGUUAUUGGGUUUGAGCAAUUUAAUUGAUUAAUCAGCUUCAUCGUGUCAUAAUUGAUUUAAAAUCGGGUUUAUUUGUUUUGAAUAAUCCCCUCAUCAUAUGCCUCUUAUUACGUCAAAACCGAUCGUACAAAAUGUUCAAUCGGAAAUACAAACCCCACAUGCGGGUCAUUGAAAGCAAGAUAAUUAUGUGACAAUGUUUUCCAUUGCCGUUGUCCAUUUAUUGGAGAGUAAGGAUUAAGUUCAGAAAAUCGAGUCUAUUUUUUAUCUAACUUUGAUUUAUGUGGUGGUUAAGUCAUUAAUCCCUCUGCAUAAAUAUACAAUUUUAUUUCUUUAGACAAUGUGGAGUUAGAUGUGCAUGAGGUUUCCUUGGGUCGUGAUCAGUCAUUCAUGUCAACAAAAAUCUAAUUAGGGUUCUGAGUGUACGGAACUCCAAACUUAAAUUCCCAUACAAAUUCCAUUAAUUAAAUUAGAGAGCCAAAUCAAUUGAAAGUACAUGAAAAUGAAAACCCUAGUUAUAAGUUUGGACAAUUGAGUCACCUAAUAUUCAGAAGUAACCGGAUUGGUCACUAACAACCCCGCUUAUGACAUUUUCCCAAACCAAAAUAGUCUCGGAUGGCUCAUGUCAUACCGGUUUAACCACAAUCUCUCCUCCCACAUUGGCGAAAUUUGGCAAUCGACGGUGGCGGAAUCUGUUCACAAUUUGACGAUAAGUAGAAUUGAAACGGCCGGAACCACUGAAUAUAAACUUUAAUUUCGAGAACUUUUACAUAAUCUUUUGUCGGUUUAUGCAAUAGAGUGACCGUGGAAAAUAAAUAGAAAAUGACUACCUUGCCCUUACAGUCUCCGAUAUCAAGUCUCUGUAGUAUUCGGCCCAUGAGCCGAUUUAUAUAUGCAGCCCAAUACCGUGAAAUUCAAAUACCGUCAUCGAACGGCGUAGUCUCGACUGCUCUAAUAUGUAUCAGCUAUUAAUAGAAGGGUUCUUGAUAUUGAAUAACGCUAUACAAUUAAAUGAUCCCACACCAUAUACAUUGGGUUAAUAUACAUAAACUGUCUCAUAAGUUUGGACCGAUCGAGUCACAUAAUAAUCAUUUUUGGCUGGAUUUUUAUGUCAGACGAUGGUGAUGCGUCAUCUAAAAUUAGAAAUUAAUAUUGUCACACACAUUCACACACCCCGAUUUAUGACGUGUCCCUAGACUGAAACAACACUUAUUUUGAAUGGCUCCAUAUCGUACUGGUUCAACCAUAGAUUAUCCCUCCACCAUGUCAUACUGACGAAAUUUGGUUAGCAACGACAUAAUAUAGAUGUCAAUAAGUGGAAUUGAAACGGUCUGAGAGUAAUUAAAAUUUUAAAAUCUAAAAAUUACAGAAAAUUUAAAAACAUGUUAGAUAUAUAUUUUAAUUUGAAAAUUUUUACAUAAUGUGUUAUCAGUCGACGAGGUAACCCUAGUUUCGGGAUGACGAAUCAAAUUAUUUUGUGUUAGGUUCACCGGAUGUUAUUUGAGUUUUAUUCACAAAAAUGUAUUAGUAUUUAGUAAAGAAAUCAAAUAUUUAUAUGAAAAUAAGCAAAUAUGACUAUAUUACCCCUACAUGUAGUACAUGGCCCAUUAACCGAUUUAUAUAAAACCACACGUUGACGAAAUUAAUUACGGUGACCAAAGAUUUGACCGCGGUCGAACCUGACAAAACCAAUGGAAUCCUCGAAAAUCCAGUCAAACUUCUCAGCAUACGAGUUCGCCGACGUCGUAUCAACCGGAUACCUAUCGACACAAUCCGACCACACAUUAUUAUCCCUAUCAUCAUCAACAUCAUCGCCACCGUCCAUCGACAACCACUCAUUCUCGACCGUCCAAAUACAGGUGUUGCACAUGAACCCAGCCCCCAACCCAACCAUGAGCACUUUGUCACCUUUCUUCAGCCUCCUCUUGGCGUCCAUGUACGCCAAAACGUACCACAGGCUGCUACAUGACGUGUUCCCGAACCGGUGCAGCGUCAUUCGAGAUGGCUCCAUGUCGAAUUCCCCAAGCCCGAAGCUCCUCCUGAACCCUUCGACCACCGCCUUCCCUCCCGGGUGCAGGCAGAAAUGCUGGAUGCCCGCUUUUAUGUUGAUAAUCGGUGGUGGUCGGAGGAUCCGGAUCCUGUCCAUAAGCUUGGUUUUCCAGGUACGGACAAUGGCGAAUAGGAUGAUUUCGUGGAGUGGGAGUACCUUGGGGAGCAAGGUUUUGAAAUUUUCUUCUAUGGCUUGGAUACCCACCUAAUUGGAUCACAAAGAGUAAGAUCACUAUCAUAGUAUUAAUAAUUUGUGUAGGGUGGAAAUUUGGAUCGCGAUCCGGCCUGCUCCAUAACUAUUGAUACGAAAUAUUUGCCAAGUUGUUGAUUUUGAUUUCGGUUAUGAUAAAUGGAUUUUCAUCCAAAUUCGGUCGGACAUCGACUGAAAAAAUCCAUUACUAGACUAGAUUAGCCUAUUAUCGAUAGAGCUAGCAAUUCAGUCACGGUUAAAAGUUACGAUCGUCUUCGGUCUAUAUUUAGGACGAUUAAUUACCGACCUUAGGCAAGUCUUUGGAGAGGCGGACACCAGAGAACCCCGCAUUGUCCUCCACCUGGAUGGCACACCCAUACGACACGUCGUCCGACAGGUGGGUCCGGACCACCUCAUCCAGCUUCAGAAUGGCUCGGUCCAAACGGUUGGUGAGGAGGAGGCAACUCCCUCCGGCUCGAAACAACACGUUCGACAACAUCAUAGACUUCUCUCUCCCGCCGUACCACUGCGCCGCCGUGGACUCCAUCGCCACCACCACCGCGAAACUCCUCUCCCUCUUCUUUUUGAACAUCUGUAGCACC